rnacentral:lncRNA from 1 species
GCCUUUGGAUGCCAAGGCUUCCAGCACAGUGAGGGAAUUCUACUGCACUGGACAGCCUUAAGCUGACUGGUGAUAAAAGCAUCAGUUGGGUGUAGCUGGGGCAAUAGAUAUUUUUAGAAGACAAUAACACCCUUGUUGCUGUUUCUGUUGUUGCUGCUGCUGCUGCUGUUGGUAUUGUUGAUAAUGGGAAAUGGGAAUGGGAAUGGGAAUGGGAAUGGGAGGAGGGAACGGUGGAAGAGGGG